rnacentral:misc_RNA from 1 species
AUAUAACAGAAAUAAGUGCAAUAGAACUAACUAACUAUAUCUAAUUUUAAUAUCAUUUUAUAGAAUUUUUUUUUUGAAAAUUCUUAGUUAUAUAUUAUACUUUAUUUAUAUUAUAGCAUUAGUUAUAGCAGAUUAGAUUAAUCGUAUUAGAGCGGAUCGGUAUCGGUACUAAGGAAAGGAUAAGGAUGCAAUCCAGAUCAUAAUGAGACAUUUCUCUGCUUUCAUUCAGAAAGGGGGAGGUAGAAUGAAAAAAUAAAAAAAAAAUAAAUAUCGACCGUUCCAGUAUUCAAAAUCGCGCGGGAAAAUGAGAGAGGGGAAAGAUAUCUAUAUGUGGAAUAUCUCUAUCCAUAUUGAAUUGCAGAUACAUCAAUGAUAGAAUCAUUUCCGAUGGGACCAACCAAAUCGAAGUCCUCCGAUAGAGAUGAAAGAAUACGGACAAGAAAUAAAGAAGUAGACGCUUUUCGGUAUUAGGAAUCAGUAUCUAAUGAAUUCAAUGGUUCCGGCAUAAAUAAAUGAAAGAGGGGGAUGGU